rnacentral:rRNA from 1 species
CCUACGGGAGGCUGCAGUGGGGAAUAUUGGACAAUGGGGGGAACCCUGAUCCAGCCAUGCCGCGUGUGUGAAGAAGGCCCUCGGGUUGUAAAGCACUUUCAGUGAGGAAGAACGCCUGGUGGUUAAUACCCAUCAGGAAAGACAUCACUCACAGAAGAAGCACCGGCUAACUCCGUGCCAGCAGCCGCGGUAAUACGGAGGGUGCGAGCGUUAAUCGGAAUUACUGGGCGUAAAGCGCGCGUAGGUGGCUUGAUAAGCCGGUUGUGAAAGCCCCGGGCUCAACCUGGGAACGGCAUCCGGACCUGUCAAGCUAGAGUGCAGGAGAGGAAGGUAGAAUUCCCGGUGUAGCGGUGAAAUGCGUAGAGAUCGGGAGGAAUACCAGUGGCGAAGGCGGCCUUCUGGACUGACACUGACACUGAGGUGCGAAAGCGUGGGUAGCAAACAGGAUUAGAUACCCAAGUAGUC